rnacentral:tRNA from 1 species
GCCUGGGUGGCUCAGUCGGUUAAGCGUCUGACUUUGACUCAGGCCAUGAUCUCACAGUUUGUGGGUUUGAGCCCUACAUCAGGCU